ACCUGAUGAGCCGAGUGCUGGGUUUGGUGGUUUUAAACACCCACAGGAGAGAGGCAUGAUCAGUGACCACUGUGAAGAGUCGUCCUUCCAGGUUGCGGCUGGCAAAAGCGAGGACUUCCUCUGUUCCCAAAUCUGACUUCUGGACCAUCACGGCUCCAAGCCCUACCUCGCUGGCAUCCGUGUACACCACAAAAGGAGCCUUGAAGUUUGGGUGUCCAAGGACAGGGCAUUGAGUGGCUCCGCGAUCCGUGAAAAAUUGGGAACGAACCGAUGAUACCACCCCGCCAUUCCAAGGAACCUCUGUACCGCUUUCAGAGAGGCCAGCUCUUCGCAGCUUGUCAAGGACAGAUUGUACAUCACCAAAAUGCUGCUCCCAGGAGGGGGAGAAAAUUAUGAUGUCGUCCAGAUAGACGAAGCAGAUCAAGCCUUUCAGUUCUCCUAGGGCUCUCUCCAUAAGUCUUUGGAAGGUUGCAGGAUCCAUUUCCACCUGCCAGUACCCACUAUUCAGAUCCAGUGAAGAGAAAACUGCAGCACCUGCGAGGUUAUCCAGGAUUUCCUGGAUGGUGGGAAUGGGGUAGGCAUCAGUGAUGGUGUUUUCAUUCACUUUCCGGUAAUCCACACAAAAUCUUGGUUUUCCAAUCUUCCGGGGAAUCAACACCACCGGAGAAGCCCAAGCCGAGCAAGAAGGUUCAAUGACAUCCUCCCGUAGCAUGUCAUCGAGGAGCUCCUUCAUCACCUUCAGCUUCGGAGGGGAGACACGAUAAGGUUUCUGUUGAAUGGGA